CUACGGGGUGCUCCAGUGGGGAAUAUUGCACAAUGGGCGCAAGCCUGAUGCAGCAACGCCGCGUGAGGGAUGAAGGCCUUCGGGUUGUAAACCUCUUUUAGCAGGGAAGAAGCGAAAGUGACGGUACCUGCAGAAAAAGCACCGGCUAACUACGUGCCAGCAGCCGCGGAAUACGUAGGGUGCAAGCGUUGUCCGGAAUUAUUGGGCGUAAAGAGCUCGUAGGCGGUUUGUCACGUCUGCUGUGAAAAUCCAAGGCUCAACCUUGGACUUGCAGUGGGUACGGGCAGGCUAGAGUGCGGUAGGGGAGGUGGGAAUUCCUGGUGUAGCGGUGGAAUGCGCAGAUAUCAGGAGGAACACCAAUGGCGAAGGCACAUCUCUGGGCCGUAACUGACGCUGAGGAGCGAAAGCGUGGGGAGCGAACAGGAUUAGAUACCCGGGUAGUC
rnacentral:rRNA from 1 species